AGUGAACGCUGGCGGUAGGCCUAACACAUGCAAGUCGAACGGCAGCACAGAGGAGCUUGCUCCUUGGGUGGCGAGUGGCGGACGGGUGAGGAAUACAUCGGAAUCUACCCUGUCGUGGGGGAUAACGUAGGGAAACUUACGCUAAUACCGCAUACGACCUUCGGGUGAAAGUGGGGGAUCGCAAGACCUCACGCGAUUGGAUGAGCCGAUGUCGGAUUAGCUAGUUGGCGGGGUAAAGGCCCACCAAGGCGACGAUCCGUAGCUGGUCUGAGAGGAUGAUCAGCCACACUGGAACUGAGACACGGUCCAGACUCCUACGGGAGGCAGCAGUGGGGAAUAUUGGACAAUGGGCGCAAGCCUGAUCCAGCCAUACCGCGUGGGUGAAGAAGGCCUUCGGGUUGUAAAGCCCUUUUGUUGGGAAAGAAAAGCGACCGGCUAAUACCCGGUUGUCCUGACGGUACCCAAAGAAUAAGCACCGGCUAACUUCGUGCCAGCAGCCGCGGUAAAAC
rnacentral:rRNA from 1 species